GGUCUGGUGGUGUAGUCGGAAACAUGUCUUUAAAUCAUGAUAACAUCGCGAUGUCGAUUGGAGGAAGUCCCUUGUUCAAAUCAAGGUCAGGCUA